rnacentral:misc_RNA from 1 species
AGAUUGCGCUGGUAGAAAUUGACGGCGGGCUCGUAGGUGAGGAAUCCAUUCUGGUCGCGGACUGUGCGGCGCAUGCCUUUGCAGGAAUUGGCGUCGCGCAAACAUGAGCUGAUCUUCGACCAGUAGGAGGGAUCUGAGACGCGGUCCUUGAGCCAGCCGGAGUAGUCGGAGAGCUGGUACUCAAGGAAGUGGCGGUUGAUGAUGACCUGGCCGCCGCCGUGGUCGGUGACAGCGAAGGCGAAGAUGAUGAAGCCGAUGAGGGCGACUACGAUGAAAAACAUGGCGAAGAGGUAGAAGCGGAGGAGCCAGGUCUGGCGGUAGCAGGAGCCGGCGAAGCCGGCGAGGGAGAUGACCAUGAG